rnacentral:rRNA from 1 species
GACGAACGCUGGCGGCGUGCCUAAUACAUGCAAGUCGAACGCAGUGGGGACGGGUGAGUAACACCUGGGUAACCUCCCAUCAGAGGGGAUAACACUUGGAAACAGGUGCUAAACCGAUACUGAUGGAUGGACCAGCGGUGCAUUAGCUAGUUGGUGGGGUAACGGCUCACCAAGGCGACGAUGCAUAGCGGACCUGAGAGGGUGACCGGCCACACUGGGACUGAGACACGGCCCAGACUCCUACGGGAGGCAGCAGUGGGGAAUAUUGUGCAAUGGACGAAAGUCUGACCGAGCAACGCCGCGUGAGUGAAGAAGGUUUUCGGGUCGUAAAACUCUGUUGUUGGGGAAGCGGUAUUUAACCAGGAAGCCACGGCUAACUACGUGCCAGCAGCCGCGGUAAUUC